rnacentral:rRNA from 1 species
GUCUUCGGCCAUGCCAUCCUGAAUGUGCCCCAUCUCGUCUGAUCUUGGAAGCUAAGCAGGGUCGAGCCUGGUUAGUACUUGGAUGGGAGACUACCCAGGAAGACCAGGUGCUGUAGGUG